rnacentral:rRNA from 1 species
CACGUAGGGUGCGAGCGUUGUCCGGAAUUAUUGGGCGUAAAGAGCUCGUAGGCGGUGUGUCGCGUCGGCCGUGAAAACCUGCAGCUUAACUGUGGGCUUGCGGUCGAUACGGGCAUCACUGGAGUUCGGCAGGGGAGACUGGAAUUCCGGGUGUAGCGGUGAAAUGCGUAGAUAUCCGGAGGAACACCGGUGGCGAAGGCGGCUUCCUGGACUGACACUGACGCUGAGGCGCGAAAGCUAGGGGAGCAAACGGG